rnacentral:rRNA from 1 species
UACAGAGACUGCAAGCGUUAUUCGGAUUCACUGGGCGUAAAGGGUGCGCAGGCGGCCAAGUGUGUGAGGCGUGAAAGCCCGGGGCUUAACCCCGGAAUUGCACCUCAAACUACAUGGCUAGAGCAUUGGAGAGGGGAGCGGAAUUCACGGUGUAGCAGUGAAAUGCGUAGAUAUCGUGAGGAACACCAGAGGCGAAGGCGGCUACCUGGACAAUUGCUGACGCUCAGGCACGAAAGCGUGGGGAGCAAAAGGG